UCGGAGCUGCUUCAAACUUGUUUACCUUUUGCGUUCUGAGCCGUCCUGCGUACUUGUCAUAUUUUUCUCCGUGCGACGUCUCAUUGAUAUUGUACUCUUUUGCCACAGCCGCUUGUUGCGAGCAUAUCAGACACACAGGUUUGCCGUUGACCUCACAGAAGAAAAAACAAUCUUUCCAAUUAUCGUUGAAUAUCCGACCUUCGAUGUCAGCUUUUCUUGGAAAGCAUUUUGAACCACAGCAGCAAACAGUCUCAGCCUUGCUACAGGUGUUACUUACCUGAGUACUAUACUGUGUCUGACGAGAUCAUCCCGCGAGCCGGAUUGGACCCCUUCGCGGGCCAGUAGUUUGACACCCCUGUGGUAGAGGGUGGCCGGGAUUCUGUUGGAGCCGGUGGUCUAUAGCUCAGACUACAGUUCUCUGCAUGCCCCGUGGCCUGUCAUUGCAAUAUCUUCAGGUGCGGCCUGGACGUCAUGGUCGUCAGGGAGCGGCCUCGUAGAUGGCCCGGUUCCUUAUUUCGCCUACUGAAGCAUUGUGGGAGACUGAAAUAUGGAGUCAGGAGGUGGCGUGCACUGCUGACAGAAUAAGGUCCCAGCACUUGAGCGAUCCCUCUCUCUCUCUCUCUCUUUAUGGAGGAUGAGAGCCCAUCAGUCCCCGAGUCGGGGGGCUUGGAGAAGCAACGUGAAAGAUUAUAACAUCGGAACAGUGAGCUGCUGGCCUCCUGCCCUCGUCGUGCAGGAGCGAUCUCUCCCUUGCUGGUGACAGAGAGCCUGUCUGAGGUACUGAAGUGCUGGGAUGGACUGUAGCUUUUGAUGGACUCCAGAUCAAGGUCUCUUUGGGACUUUUGCUAUUGCUUGCAUGGUGGGGGGAGGGUUGAUGUUUCUGCUGCUGCCUUUGCGUGGCAGGGUGAGGCCGGGGCUUCGGGGUUCUGAUAUUACUAUCAUUCACUCUUUGGGGUUUCUUGUCUUGUGGAUGUCUGUGACGGGUAAGAAUUUGAGCUUCUAUACUCUAUACAUCCUGUGAUAUUAAAUUGAACCCAUUAAACCAUUUGAUAUGGACAUUGUAUAGGCAGAAGAGUUUAAUUUAGUUAGCCAUUUGAUUACUAAUUUAAUUGGUUCGGCACAACUUUGUGGGCCAAAGUGCCCGUUCCUAUGCUGUACUGUACUACGUUCUAUGUUCCUCCCAGUCUGUUUGUGAACCCAGUGAACCUAUUAAAAAUUGAGUCUCAAAAGGUAAGUUUUUUUCCUCAAUGGAUAUCGGUGAGUGUUCAUUUGACAAUCCCAGUUGUUUUAUUCAAUAUUCAAGAUUUAAGAUUGUUUAAUGUCAUUUCCAGUACACAAGUGUACAGGGGAACAAAAUAAUUGUUACUCCAUAUCCGA